AUUGAACGCUGGCGGCAGGCCUAACACAUGCAAGUCGAGCGGAUGAAGGGAGCUUGCUCCUGGAUUCAGCGGCGGACGGGUGAGUAAUGCCUAGGAAUCUGCCUGGUAGUGGGGGAUAACGUCCGGAAACGGGCGCUAAUACCGCAUACGUCCUGAGGGAGAAAGUGGGGGAUCUUCGGACCUCACGCUAUCAGAUGAGCCUAGGUCGGAUUAGCUAGUUGGUGGGGUAAAGGCCUACCAAGGCGACGAUCCGUAACUGGUCUGAGAGGAUGAUCAGUCACACUGGAACUGAGACACGGUCCAGACUCCUACGGGAGGCAGCAGUGGGGAAUAGUGGACAAUGGGCGAAAGCCUGAUCCAGCCAUGCCGCGUGUGUGAAGAAGGUCUUCGGAUUGUAAAGCACUUUAAGUUGUGAGGAAGGGCAGUAAGUUAAUACCUUGCUGUUUUGACGUUACCAACAGAAUAAGCACCGGCUAACUUCGUG
rnacentral:rRNA from 1 species